CACGUAGUUAGCCGUGGCUUUCUGGUUAAGUACCGUCACACAGUAAACAGUUACUCUUACUGUCGUUCUUCCUUAACAACAGUGCUUUACGAUCCGAAGACCUUCUUCGCACACGCGGCGUUGCUCCGUCAGGCUUUCGCCCAUUGCGGAAGAUUCCCUACUGCUGCCUCCCGUAGGAGUCUGGACCGUGUCUCAGUUCCAGUGUGGCCGAUCACCCUCUCAGGUCGGCUACGCAUCGUCGCCUUGGUAAGCCGUUACCUUACCACCAGCUAAUGCGCCGCAGGCCCAUCCUUAAGCGAUAAAAACUCCACCUUUCAACUUCUAUACCGUUGUAUAAAGUAUUAUCCGGUAUUAGCCACGGUUUCCCGCGGUUAUCCCAGUCUUAAGGGUAGGUUGCCCACGUGUUACUCACCCGUCCGCCGCUCGAUGAUUACGGUGUCCCGAAGGACGGUGUAAUCAGUCGCGCUCGACUUGCAUGUAUUAGGCACGCCGCCAGCGUUCAUCCUGAGCCAGGAUCAAACUC
rnacentral:rRNA from 1 species